GUCAGCCUUAUAAAGGCUCGUACAGACUACAUGACUUUGAAACGUAGGUCCGAACUGUGCGGUUCACACUACAUGACUUGCUCUCUGUGAAAUCAGGAGUGUUCACGUUGUUGAGCAGUUCACACCACACGACACAACGUGAAUGCCCCACAACAGGAGGUAACGCACUACACGAGUUGAGAACAACUCUAUUACCCAACGAUUCUAUCUUGUCUACAAACCACGUUCUGUCACGAAAAAUCACGCGAUAAAACAAACCGGAAAUGACGCGAAACAACACGCGCGCCGGUAAAAACCCACAGAAGAAGAAACAAGACGCGCAAAACUUUUGUUUGUAUAUAUAGACUUCAGACAGAAAUAAGUGCUGCAAACCGUUUGCGCGAUGCAAAGCCGCAAAAGAAAAAAAUUAUAGAGAUGUGAUGUGGAGAGGUGGAUCAGAACCACACGCGGACAGCAGGGAUUAAAGAUUUGAGAAUAGGACAGGCUUCGCAAAACAUGAUUUGGAGAGCGUUUGUCUUUGACCCUGCGAUUCUAUGCAACAGGUGACACGUUCAAGUUCAUCAGGUUCAAGUCCAUGAUGGGAGACCAGCACCAUCUCACAAAUAGUUUUGGAUGUUAUGCUCUGUACCAGGUUAUAAAGGACGAUUUCUUGAAGACACCAUCAACGGAAGGAGAGUGGCAUACAAUAGCCAUGGACUUCGAAAGGAAGUGGCAGUUUCCACAUUGCUUUGGGGUACUUGCUACCACUCCAGCUGUAGCAGACUGCUGACCACAACAUGGUUGAUGGGCAGUGGAAGAAUCAUGGGAUGGGUGCUUUUCAACCGAUGAAGAACACCUCACAUCGCAAUUGUAUGGCAACAGCAAAAGUGCAACGCAAUCUGAUGCAGGACUACUUUGUCUCACCAGCGGGUAGUGUUUAUUG